GGUUGAUCCUGCCAGUAGUCAUAUGCUUGUCUCAAAGAUUAAGCCAUGCAUGUGUAAGUAUAAACAAGUGUACAGUGAAACUGCGAAUGGCUCAUUAAAUCAGUUAUAGUUUAUUUGAUGGUAUAUUACUAGGUGGAUAACCGUGGUAAUUCUAGAGCUAAUACAUGCAUAGUGACCCGACUUCUGGGAGGGUUGUAUUUAUUAGAUAUUGAACCGAUGUGCCUAACGGCAGUUUUGAGGUUGAAUCAUAGUAACUAGUGGGAUCGCAUGACGUUUGUCGGCGAAGUUUCAUU
rnacentral:rRNA from 1 species